ACCUGGGUGGCUCAGUUGGUUUAGCAUCCGACUUCGGCUCAGGUCAUGAUCUCUCUCACACACAGUUCGUGAGUUCGAGCCUCGCCUCAGGCU
rnacentral:tRNA from 1 species